ACAGAGAAAGUGCUUGCACUUUCAAAGUUAGCGGCGGACGGGUGAGUAACACGUAAGGAACCUACCGAUAAGCGGGGGACAACAUCCGGAAACGGGUGCUAAUACCGCAUAGGAAGUUUGUUCGCAUGAACAAACUUAGAAAGAUGGCUCUGCUAUCACUUAUCGAUGGCCUUGCGGUGCAUUAACUAGUUGGCGAGGUAACGGCUCACCAAGGUGAUGAUGCAUAGCCGACCUGAGAGGGUAAUCGGCCACAUUGGGACUGAGACACGGCCCAAACUCCUACGGGAGGCAGCAGUAGGGAAUCCUCCGCAAUGGACGCAAGUCUGACGGAGCAACGCCGCGUGAGUGAAGAAGGUUUUCGGAUCGUAAAACUCUGUUGUAAGAGAAGAACAAAUUGUAGAGUAACUGCUACAGUCUUGACGGUAUCUUACCAGAAAGCCACGGCUAACUACGUGCCAGCAGCCGCGGUAAUACGUAGGUGGCAAGCGUUGUCCGGAUUUAUUGGGCGUAAAGGGGGCGCAGGCUGCUUCUUAAGUCUGAUGUGAAAGCCCACGGCUUAACCGUGGAAGUGCAUUGGAAACUGGGAAGCUUGAGUACAGAAGAGGAAAGUGGAACUCCAUGUGUAGCGGUGGAAUGCGUAGAUAUAUGGAAGAACACCAGUGGCGAAAGCGACUUUCUGGUCUGUCACUGACGCU
rnacentral:rRNA from 1 species